GGCGGCAUAGCCAAGUGGUAAGGCAGAGGUCUGCAAAACCUCCACCCCCGGUUCAAAUCCGGGUGCCGCCUUCA
rnacentral:tRNA from 1 species